AGAGUCCAAUCUCUUGCUUAAUGAAUUUGUGAAGAUGUUUAAACAUAAAACCGGUUACGAGAUUGUGGAGCCUGCUCAUAUGGAUGUUGUGAGUGAUAGGAUCAAGCAUUGCUUGAAGCACAUAUCCGGAGAUGCCGAAGAGUGUUCUGUUUGUGCUGGGACUGUAAAAUGCAGGCUCUAUAAUUCAUGAAGCAGGGUUGAAAGUCAAGGGAAUUUUAUAAACUGGGUUGCAACUAACCAAACUGAAGAUGUUGGCAACAGCCUGGUUCAGAAGAAUCAAGAUGGUUUCAUAAUCAUGGUUGGAUAUGAUACCUUGAAAGUGAUAUGAUCAGUGAGUCACAAGGAUCUUCUCCUCUUAUAUCAUGAUGAUUUCCAAAAGUUUAAGUUGAAUUUUUGUUCAAUAUUGCCAAGGCAAUAAUAUUGAAACUAUUGCUUGCAUAAGCAAAGUUGUAACAUUGAUUGAAUCCUUUGUAUAAUAUAUAU